rnacentral:rRNA from 1 species
AUGAGGGAGCUAAAGGAUUGUAAGCCAAAGCAGACCAGGGCAGCUCCUGAACCACGGCGCCAAGGGAAACUAAGGUGGAUACCUCCACCUCCUGGGAUGGCGAAAUUUAGUGUGGAUGGGGUUGUCGCGCGGGAUCUCAAUAAAGGUACAUUCAGUGCAGUUUGCAGGGAUUCAGCCGGAACAUAUAUGGGAUCUUCAGUCAUCCAGACUAGGGGAAUUUCUGACCCAGCCACUCUGGAGGCAUUAGCGUGUCGUGAAGCUCUGGCGCUAGCCACGGAUCUUGCGCUAUCGCAUGUGUUAGUGGCGUUGGUGUAG